rnacentral:rRNA from 1 species
AAUCAACGCUGGCGGCGUGCCUAACACAUGCAAGUCGCACGAGAAAGCGGGCUUCGGCCUGCGAGUAAAGUGGCGCACGGGUGAGUAACACGUGAAUCAUCUACCUCCGAGUGGGGAAUAACCUAGAGAAAUCUGGGCUAAUACCGCAUAACACUUACGAGUCAAAGCAGCAAUGCGCUUGGAGAGGAGUUCGCGGCAGAUUAGUUAGUUGGCAGGGUAAUGGCCUACCAAGACGAUGAUCUGUAUCCGGCCUGAGAGGGCGCACGGACACACUGGAACUGAAACACGGUCCAGACUCCUACGGGAGGCAGCAGUGGGGAAUUUUGCGCAAUGGGGGAAACCCUGACGCAGCAACGCCGCGUGGAGGAUGAAAUCCCUUGGGAUGUAAACUCCUUUCGAUCGGGACGAUUAUGACGGUACCGGAAGAAGAAGCCCCGGCUAACUUCGUGCCAGCCGCCGCGGUAAUAC